rnacentral:rRNA from 1 species
CACGUAGGGUGCGAGCGUUGUCCGGAAUUAUUGGGCGUAAAGAGCUCGUAGGCGGUGUGUCGCGUCGGCCGUGAAAACCUGGGGCUUAACUCUGGGCUUGCGGUCGAUACGGGCAUCACUGGAGUUCGGCAGGGGAGACUGGAAUUCCUGGUGUAGCGGUGAAAUGCGCAGAUAUCAGGAGGAACACCGGUGGCGAAGGCGGGUCUCUGGGCCGAUACUGACGCUGAGGCACGAAGGCCAGGGGAGCAAACGGG